rnacentral:rRNA from 1 species
UACGAAGGGGGCUAGCGUUGUUCGGAAUCACUGGGCGUAAAGGGUGCGUAGGCGGACGGCUUAGUCAGGCGUGAAAGUCCUGGGCUUAACCUGGGGACGGCGCUUGAUACGUGCGGGCUUGAGUGGGGAAGAGGGUCGUGGAAUUCCCAGUGUAGAGGUGAAAUUCGUAGAUAUUGGGAAGAACACCGGUGGCGAAGGCGGCGACCUGGUCCUUUUACUGACGCUGAGGCGCGAAAGCGUGGGGAGCAAACAGG